CCUAAUGCAUGGUGUAACUAUGAUAAUUAUUCUUACUUUUUGCACAUUUAUAUGUAUUAUAUGUCAGUGUGAUUUUGAUCUUCUCCUGUAGUUGAUAAGAAAGUUUCUCUAGAAACGCUUAUGGAUAAAGUUACAGAUUUCACAGGUGAGAAGAUUGAGUCUAAGGAUGUUAAAAAUGUUGUUAAAAAUCUUGGAAUUGAGCUUGCAAGUGAAGAACUAGAAAAGCUAAUGAAAACACUGCCAACUGAUGCUGCUGGAAAGUUAUAUCAUAAUAGAUUAAUGAAGAGUGUGAAGUCUCUCAAAAGUAAGUAAGAAACAAAAUUUUAAGGCAUAUUAUUUAGAUUCUGUAGAUUUAUAUUAUCAAAGUUCUUCAGACAUAUCUGCUACUGCUUCU
rnacentral:lncRNA from 1 species